CCUACGGGAGGCAGCAGUGGGGAAUAUUGGACAAUGGGGGAAACCCUGAUCCAGCGACGCCGCGUGAGUGAAGAAGUAUUUCGGUACGUAAAGCUCUAUCAGCAGGAAAGAAAAUGACGGUACCUGACUAAGAAGCCCCGGCUAACUACGUGCCAGCAGCCGCGGUAAUACGUAGGGGGCAAGCAUUAUCCGGAUUUACUGGGUGUAAAGGGAGCGUAGACGGCAGCGCAAGUCUGGAGUGAAAUGCCGGGGCGCAACCCCGGAACUGCUCUGGAAACUGUGAAGCUGGAGUGCAGGAGAGGUAAGCGGAAUUCCUGGUGUAGCGGUGAAAUGCGUAGAGAUCAGGAGGAACACCGAAGGCGAAGGCGGCUUACUGGACUGUAACUGACGUUGAGGCUCGAAGGCGUGGGGAGCAAACAGGAUUAGAUACCCCAGUAGUC
rnacentral:rRNA from 1 species